GUUGAACGCUGGCGGCAUGCCUUACACAUGCAAGUCGAACGGCAGCAUGAUCUAGCUUGCUAGAUUGAUGGCGAGUGGCGAACGGGUGAGUAAUACAUCGGAACGUGCCCUGUAGUGGGGGAUAACUAGUCGAAAGAUUAGCUAAUACCGCAUACGACCUGAGGGUGAAAGUGGGGGACCGCAAGGCCUCAUGCUAUAGGAGCGGCCGAUGUCUGAUUAGCUAGUUGGUGAGGUAAAGGCUCACCAAGGCGACGAUCAGUAGCUGGUCUGAGAGGACGAUCAGCCACACUGGGACUGAGACACGGCCCAGACUCCUACGGGAGGCAGCAGUGGGGAAUUUUGGACAAUGGGGGCAACCCUGAUCCAGCAAUGCCGCGUGUGUGAAGAAGGCCUUCGGGUUGUAAAGCACUUUUGUCCGGAAAGAAAUCGCACUUACUAAUAUUAGGUGUGGAUGACGGUACCGGAAGAAUAAGGACCGGCUAACUACGUGCCAGCCGCCGCAGUAAGAC
rnacentral:rRNA from 1 species